ACGGAAGGCAGCAGUGGGGAAUAUUGCACAAUGGGCGAAAGCCUGAUGCAGCGACGCCGCGUGAGUGAAGAAGUAUCUCGGUAUGUAAAGCUCUAUCAGCAGGGAAGAAAAUGACGGUACCUGACUAAGAAGCCCCGGCUAACUACGUGCCAGCAGCCGCGGUAAUACGUAGGGGGCAAGCGUUAUCCGGAUUUACUGGGUGUAAAGGGAGCGUAGACGGUUUGGCAAGUCUGAAGUGAAAUGCGGGGGCUCAACUCCUGAACUGCUUUGGAAACUGUCGAACUAGAGUGCAGGAGAGGUAAGUGGAAUUCCUAGUGUAGCGGUGAAAUGCGUAGAUAUUAGGAGGAACACCAGUGGCGAAGGCAGCUUACUGGACUGUAACUGACGUUGAGGCUCGAAAGCGUGGGGAGCAAACAGGAUUAGAUACCCUGGUA
rnacentral:rRNA from 1 species